UACGUAGGGUGCGAGCGUUAAUCGGAAUUACUGGGCGUAAAGCGUGCGCAGGUGGCCGCGCAAGUCGAGUGUGAAAUCCCCGAGCUUAACUUGGGAAUUGCGCUCGAAACUACGUGGCUCGAGUGUGGCAGAGGAAGGUGGAAUUCCACGUGUAGCGGUGAAAUGCGUAGAGAUGUGGAGGAACACCGAUGGCGAAGGCAGCCUUCUGGGCCAACACUGACGCUCAUGCACGAAAGCGUGGGGAGCGAACAGG
rnacentral:rRNA from 1 species